ACCUGGCUGGCUCAGUUGGUAGAGCAUGUGACUAUUGAUCUCAGGGUCAUGAGUUUGAGCCCCAUGUUGGGUG